rnacentral:rRNA from 1 species
AGCAGCCGCGGUAAUUCCAGCUCCAAUAGCGUAUAUUAAAGUUGUUGCAGUUAAAAAGCUCGUAGUUGAAUUUCGGAAUCAAUUUGUUGGUCGUGCCUUGGUACGUACUGGCAUUAUUGGUUUCUCCCUUCUGAGAAUCCUUGAUGUCAUUAAUUUGGUGUCUUGGGGAAUCAGGACUGUUACCUUGAAAAAAUUAGAGUGUUUAAAGCAGGCAUACGCUUGAAUACAUUAGCAUGGAAUAAUGAAAUAGGACGUUCGAUUCUAUUUUGUUGGUUUCUAGGAUCGACGUAAUGAUUAAUAGGGAUAGUUGGGGGCAUUAGUAUUCAAUUGUCAGAGGUGAAAUUCUUGGAUUUAUGAAGACUAACUACUGCGAAAGCAUUUGCCAAGGAUGUUUUCAUUAAUCAGGAACGAAAGUUAGGGAUCGAAGACGAUCAGAUACCGUCGUAGUCUUAACCAUAAACUAUAGCCGACUAGGGAUCGGACGAUGUUAUUUUUGACUCGUUCGGUACCUUACGAGGAA